ACCAUAGAAACUCAGUCUGAGAACAUCGCAUACUAAGAUAACGACUAAGUGACCAACAUCGUGUUGG
rnacentral:sRNA from 1 species